rnacentral:rRNA from 1 species
GAGCGGUAAGGCCCUUCGGGGUACACGAGCGGCGAACGGGUGAGUAACACGUGAGCAACCUGCCCCUGACUCUGGGAUAAGCGGUGGAAACGCCGUCUAAUACCGGAUACGACCCGCCACCUCAUGGUGGAGGGUGGAAAGUUUUUCGGUCAGGGAUGGGCUCGCGGCCUAUCAGCUUGUUGGUGGGGUAACGGCCUACCAAGGCGAUUACGGGUAGCCGGCCUGAGAGGGCGACCGGCCACACUGGGACUGAGACACGGCCCAGACUCCUGCGGGAGGCAGCAGUGGGGAAUAUUGCGCAAUGGGCGAAAGCCUGACGCAGCGACGCCGCGUGGGGGAUGACGGCCUUCGGGUUGUAAACCUCUUUUACCACCAACGCAGGCUUCCAGUUCUCUGGGGGUUGACGGUAGGUGGGGAAUAAGGACCGGCUAACUACGUGCCAGCAGCCGCGGUAAUACGUAGGGUCCGAGCGUUGUCCGGAAUUAUUGGGCGUAAAGAGCUCGUAGGCGGCGUGUCGCGUCUGCUGUGAAAGACCGGGGCUUAACUCCGGUUCUGCAGUGGAUACGGGCAUGCUAGAGGUAGGUAGGGGAGACUGGAAUUCCUGGUGUAGCGGUGAAAUGCGCAGAUAUCAGGAGGAACACCGGUGGCGAA